AUGGUUUAGUUUUAACAUUGUUCAUAUUGUUGUUCCCUUCGAAGUACAGAGCUAUCCUUUUGCCAGGUCAAUUUUUUAAAUAAUCUCCACACAAAUGAGCUAUGUAUCAAUAUGGUCAAGGAUACUGACGCUGAACUAUUUUCUAUGCAGUACAGACCAUAAACUUACUUGCAGCAUGCCAGCAAAAGUGGUUUCUGCCCUCUGAAACUGCAUGCUGACAGUGACCGGUUGGUCCUUCUCCGCCCCUUUCAGUGUUUCAGACAGCCAUAUCCUCUAGCAAAUUCCGGUUGGAUUGGCUCAAGGAACAAAACCAGAUGAGAUCUCUACUGCAAAAGUAUGUGCAAUACUGCCUGUUUAUAUCCUAUAAUAUUAUCUACUCAUAUCACUUCAAAACGACAUAAUAUUUGGAAAUGAUAUCCGCUGGCUUAGCCCAAUGUGUAUAUGUCGUGCAUGUGUAUAGAUACUUGGCCAACUGAAAAUUGUACCUUCUGAAUUUAUCUGUAACACAGCUUUCCCUGGACAUUGGCUGCAAAUGUUCACCACUCAACAUAUCUAUACAUACCAGGACCAUUUUGGAUGGAAAGCUACCUGUUUAGUUUAUGCUACGCCUAUUAAAGUUGUAUAGAGACCAAGGAUGGGCAUGAUAAUCUAGGCGAACGUAAAACUGUUGGCUCUACAAGUGUUCGGUUCAGUUCAGAAAAAGUUGCCGGCUGUAGAAAAAAAUUACCGUGCUUAAUUCGGCAGAGGAAAGAGGAACGUACUGAAAUCGAUUUUUUUUCUUCUGCUCGGCCACAGCCCUCCGCUCUCCUUGGUUUCUAAACGAUGUUGUUGCCCUCUCCAGCAGGCUGGCUUUACACCCCUAUGCGCGCGGCCUCUAGAUUUUUGGGCGGAGCUACCUCUGCAUCACUCACCAGCAGGGCCUGCUCACCAGCUGUGAAGGAUGACAACCUGCAAUAUAAUUGAGGCUCACUGCAGCACGCACCACAAUGGCGCUGGAACCUGCAAGCUUCGUCAAGCUUUAGGAGCUUCUCUGCUAGGUACACCUGCUAGCAUGCUAUCUUGUCCGAACACCAUCUCAUGGAAGUCUGUUUUGGCAGUAUACAUUUUUUCUCUUGCCCUUUGGUCAUGUGAGCCAGGUGAACUGUUACAAAUUUUGAUUUCUACAUCCAGUCCAAGAACCAUCUUGAUUUUAACCAAGUUCUAUAAAUAGCGAGGGAUCAAGCAACCAUUUCGACCUUGAGGUGAACAUUCCGAAUGAGAUGGACAUUGGUGUGAAAGGGAGACAUGGGAGAUUCGAUUGCAGACCUUAGCAGUUGUGGCUUAAUGUGAUCUAACCUGUUCCCUUCAGAUUUGCAUAUGAUUUUGUUAUAGAGUCUUUUUCUAACAUCAUGUUAUUCUGGGUUCAAGUGUACGCAAUACAAAUGGCCUUUGCCUUUUCUUCGCUCUUUCCAGAAUUUUAUCAUUCUUAUGGACCAUCGGUCCAUUGUUGUGGCUUAGUUUUCUAGCUUAGUGCUAUCUAAUUGGUAGGCUAUAUAUGAUAUGUGUGGGUCCUGAAAACUCACAAGAGCUAUAAUUCUUUUAUCUACUAACUGAUAAGUUGGAAUAGUAUAUGUUCCGUGUGCAUCAUGAAACUUACAAGUCUCACUAUUUUAUCACCGUUAUACGAAAUAAACAUUGGCAUGAGCUCCACGGGAUCAUGCGCCAAGGCGCACAUUUAAAUCUAUUUCUUCUACAUACAUUUUCCUUGGCCUGGAUGAUACUUGUUUUGAAUAAUAUAACUUGGAAUAUUUUUUAUUUCCUAUGGUUAGCAUGUGCUCUAUUCCCCUAGGCGGUAGUUUCUCUUGCCAUGUCCUCAUGUAUAUUUGUGUUAUAAAGUCAGCUUAGCGAAUUCGCUUUUGUUUAUUUCAGGGGGUGUUGCGGCCGAAGGAUGUAUCUACGUUUGUCUUUCCGUCAGGUAAAAGGGGUCUAGCCAGCGGGAAAGCAUGUAGAUGGUACAUCAAUAUAAACAUGCAGAUAUAAUUGCCUUUACUGCUAGUGGUCUACUAAAUUGAGCCCAUCGUAGAAUCUUUGUUGGCUAUCAAUAUGCACUGCGUCACCGGUAAGCGAUAGAGGAAAUUCCUCGCUGAAUUGAUCAAAUUUAAUCUCCUGCAUGCGACCGUUUGGAGAAACGUCUGGAGAAAAUGAGGACGAGCUACUGUUCCUAAAAUUAGAACUAAGGUUGCAUCUAUAAAAUUGAUUUGUACUCAUGUUGUGUUAUUGUGUAAGGUUGUUUAUAGCCUUUUCAGUUCAGCUAUUUUGUUCCUUUUGAAUAGCUUUUGACACGCAAUGUGUUAUCACCCCUUAUGUGAUUAGGUUACAAUGAUAUGUUUGUACUAAUUAUGUUUAUGGUGCUCUCUUUCUUUCUUAGCUUAGUAUAUAUGUCAUACAAAACAUUGAUUAAUGCCAAAGGCCAGGGCUGCUUCUUAC